UACAGAGGUCUCGAGCGUUGUUCGGAUUCACUGGGCGUAAAGGGUGCGUAGGUGGUGAGGUAAGUCGGAUGUGAAAUCUCCGGGCUCAACCCGGAAAUGGCAUUGGAAACUACCUUGCUGGAGGAUUUGAGGGGGGAUUGGAAUACUUGGUGUAGCAGUGAAAUGCGUAGAUAUCAAGUGGAACACCAGUGGCGAAGGCGAAUCCCUGGAAAAUACCUGACACUGAGGCACGAAAGCUAGGGGAGCAAACAGG
rnacentral:rRNA from 1 species